rnacentral:misc_RNA from 1 species
UUUUUCUUUUUUCUUUUUUCUUUUCUUUUCUUUUUUUUUCUUUCUUUCUUUUUUUUUUUUUUUUUUUUUGUCUUCGCGUGUUCUUUAUCAUAUCCCUGAUCAAAGACAUUCCAAUAUUAUUACAAUAUCCAAUUACAUAUUGAUACACAAGAUAUACAGAUUAUUAUUUAUAACAUUUUGGUUUUCUUAAUUGAGUUAUUCAUUUAG